rnacentral:rRNA from 1 species
UACAUGGGGUGCAAACGUUGUCCGGAAUUAUUGGGCGUAAAGAGCUCGUAGGCGGUUCGGCAAGUCGGAUGUGAAAUCUCCACGCUUAACGUGGAGGGGCCAUUCGAAACUGCCGUGACUCGAGUCCGGUAGGGGAGUGCGGAAUUCCCGGUGUAGCGGUGAAAUGCGCAGAUAUCGGGAGGAACACCGGUGGCGAAGGCGGCGAUCUGGGUAGAUACUGACGCUGAGGUGCGAAAGCGUGGGGAGCAAACAGG